rnacentral:rRNA from 1 species
CCUACGGGAGGCAGCAGUGGGGAAUUUUGGACAAUGGGCGAAAGCCUGAUCCAGCAAUGCCGCGUGCAGGAAGAAGGCCUUCGGGUUGUAAACUGCUUUUGUACGGAACGAAACGGUCCGCUUUAAUACAGUGGGCUAAUGACGGUACCGUAAGAAUAAGCACCGGCUAACUACGUGCCAGCAGCCGCGGUAAUACGUAGGGUGCGAGCGUUAAUCGGAAUUACUGGGCGUAAAGCGUGCGCAGGCGGUUAUAUAAGACAGUUGUGAAAUCCCCGGGCUCAACCUGGGAAUUGCAUCUGUGACUGUAUAGCUAGAGUACGGUAGAGGGGGAUGGAAUUCCGCGUGUAGCAGUGAAAUGCGUAGAUAUGCGGAGGAACACCGAUGGCGAAGGCAAUCCCCUGGACCUGUACUGACGCUCAUGCACGAAAGCGUGGGGAGCAAACAGGAUUAGAUACCCUGGUAGUCCACGCCCUAAACGAUGUCAACUGGUUGUUGGGUUGCAUUAGUACUCAGUAACGAAGCUAACGCGUGAAGUUGACCGCCUGGGGAGUACGGCCGCAAGGUUGAAACUUAANAGUAGUAGUGCGNGNGAGAGCGACGACGACGACGACGGAGGAGG